GGAAAGGUGCCCGAGUCGUUAUGGGGUUGCACUUAAGAUGCACUGACUAACCGUCGUCGCGGGUUCAAAUCCCGCCCUUUCCA
rnacentral:tRNA from 1 species